CUUCUCACUACUGCACUUGACUA
rnacentral:piRNA from 2 species